CUUUAAUGUUUCCAGAGAGUUCUCUGGAUCUCUCCAGAUUGGUGCCACAUCUGUUGAGCAAUGUUGAUGAUCUCAUCAAAAGUGAUAUUCCCACUGUGUUUAAUGUUUUUCUGUUUAUUUCUGUCUUGAUGGUUCCUCGAGGGCUUUGAUGAUCAGGGCAGAGGCAGAAGGCACCACCUCAAUCUGGGCCUGUCUGUUCUGAAUGGUCAGUUUUCACUGUAAUCCUCAGGCCCUUCCAGUCACCCGUUGUCUUGGCAAUGUCGUCACCAACCUUUUUUGGAGACAGACCCAGGGGGCCAAUCUGGGGGCCAGCGCAGACGUGGCACCAACUUCACCCCCAGUGCACCUCAGAAAUGCCCAGGAGGAUUGACGAGAUUGAGGUCAAGAUCGUGGCCCAGUGUGUGGCGCUCCAAGCCAGCUCUUCCCCUUUCAAAACCAGAAAAGCCGCAUGUUUAGAUCGCUCUAGGAGAUUCAUCUCCAUUACGAUACAGGAUAUGGGCUGUUUGAAAACUAUUUCAUCAUCUUUAUCAUCAUCAUUCAGUUCAGCCACUUGAGAUUUUCGCCUCUCCAAAAAUGUUGGUGUACAAACUGGUGUGGGGCCCUGGAUUCAACAAGUAAAGAUUAUAAUACAUAAAUGUAAAACAUGAUUAUGACUUUACCCAAAAAUAUCAUCUCUCCUCUAUUUUUACAAGUUGUGCCCCAUUAUUUUAGCUCUGUUACCAUCUUUUGGUGAUACUAUUGCAAAGAAUAAAGAACUUAGAUGCUUAUC
rnacentral:lncRNA from 1 species